GGAUAAGUGGCGCUCACGCUUCUUGCGCUCUCGGAACACGGACUCCUCCAAACACUGCAGCUGAUUCUGGAGAAACGACAGGGGCACAGCAGGACAAGCUGGGACCUCCCAGGGACCCGGGAGCCUCACCUUGGCCACCUCCGUGUUGCCACUUUGCGCCUCUGCCCGCUCCAGCUCGCGUAGGCUGUACCGCAGCCAGAGCUCAUCCAGCAACUUCCGCUGCAAACCCACCUGGUGCCGCAGGGCGUCCAGCUGCUUCACCUUCUCUCUCAGCUGGUGCUCCAGAUCUUGUUUCGCAUCUCCUGGCCUCAGCAGCAUCUGACCUGGUUGAUCCCCUCUUCCCGCCCAUUGUCUUCUUUGGUGGCUGCCAGGACCCCCGCUCCCCAGUGUGCCACACCGGCUGUCUGUCGCUUCUGCAUUUCCUUGGACUUGGGAGAGAUAGCCUCGCCUCUGUUCACACCCACCCCCUCGACGAUCCUAUCCAGUCUCAGGGUUUUAUUUUUUAUUUUAGAG